AGCGGCGCACGGGUGAGUAACGCGUACGCAAUCUGCCCUUCAGUGGGGAAUAGCCCUGGGAAACUGGGAUUAAUGCCCCAUAACAUUAGAAUAUCGCCUGAUAUUUUAAUUAAAGUUCCGGCGCUGAAGGAUGAGCGUGCGUCUGAUUAGCUAGUUGGUAGGGUAACGGCCUACCAAGGCGACGAUCAGUAGGGGGCGUGAGAGCGUGACCCCCCACACGGGUACUGAGACACGGACCCGACUCCUACGGGGGGCAGCAGUAAGGAAUAUUGGGCAAUGGAGGCAACUCUGACCCAGCCAUCCCGCGUGAAGGAUUAAGGCCCUAUGGGUUGUAAACUUCUUUUGCUUGGGAAGAAAUCUGGACAUUUAUGUGCAGUUGACGGUACCUUGCGAAUAAGCACCGGCUAACUCCGUGCCAGCAGCCGCGGUAAUACGGAGGGUGCAAGCGUUAUCCGGAAUCACUGGGUUUAAAGGGUGCGUAGGCGGUUCGAUAGGUCAGAGGUGAAAGCUAGCAGCUUAACUGUUAAAUUGCCUUUGAUACUGUUGAACUUGAAUCAAGUUGAGGUAGGCGGAAUGUGACAUGUAGCGGUGAAAUGCAUAGAUAUGUCAUAGAACACCAAUUGCGUAGGCAGCUUGCUGGGCUUGAAUUGACGCUGAGGCACGAAAGCGUGGGGAUCAAACAGGAUUAGACACCCUGGUA
rnacentral:rRNA from 1 species